AAUGAACGCUGGCGGCGCGCCUAAUACAUGCAAGUCGAGCGAGAAGACGUAGCAAUACGUUUGUAAAGCGGCGAACGGGUGAGGAAUACAUGGGUAACCUACCCUCGAGUGGGGAAUAACUAGCCGAAAGGUUAGCUAAUACCGCGUACGCUUCUUGGACUUCGGUUCAGGGAGGAAAGCGAUGCCGAGGGUAUCGCGCUCUUGGAUGGGCUCAUGUCCUAUCAGCUUGUUGGGAGGUAACAGCUCACCAAGGCUUCGACGGGUAGCUGGUCUGAGAGGACGAUCAGCCACACUGGCACUGCGACACGGGCCAGACUCCUACGGGAGGCAGCAGUAAGGAAUAUUGCGCAAUGGGCGAAAGCCUGACGCAGCGACGCCGCGUGGGGGAUGAAGGUCUUCGGAUUGUAAACCCCUUUCGGGAGGGAAGA
rnacentral:rRNA from 1 species